rnacentral:misc_RNA from 1 species
GAAAUGCGAUAAGUAAUGUGAAUUGCAGAAUUCAGUGAAUCAUCGAAUCUUUGAACGCACAUUGCGCCCCUUGGUAUUCCGGGGGGCAUGCCUGUUCGAGCGUCAUUUCAACCCUCAAGCUCUGCUUGGUAUUGGGCACCGUCCUUUGCGGGCGCGCCUCAAAGACCUCGGCGGUGGCGUCUUGCCUCAAGCGUAGUAGAAUACACCUCGCUUCGGAGCGUAAGGCGUCGCCCGCCGGACGAACCUUCUGAACUUUUCUCAAGGUUGACCUCGGAUCAGGUAGGGAUACCCGCUGAACUUAAGC